rnacentral:pre_miRNA from 1 species
AACCGAAGUUUUCCUCGGUAGUUAACUGCAGCCGAUUUCAUUUUUCCUCGACAGUUAACUGCCGAAGGGCAU